UACGGAGGGUGCGAGCGUUGUCCGGAAUCACUGGGCGUAAAGGGCGCGUAGGCGGCUCGUUAAGUGGCUGGUGAAAUCCCGGGGCUCAACUCCGGGGCUGCCGGUCAUACUGGCGAGCUGGAGCACGGUAGAGGCGGAUGGAAUUCCCGGUGUAGCGGUGGAAUGCGUAGAUAUCGGGAAGAAUACCGGUGGCGAAGGCGGCAUCCUGGACCAAUAUUGACGCUGAGGAGCGAAAGCCAGGGGAGCAAACGGG
rnacentral:rRNA from 1 species